AUGGGUGUCAAGGGUGGUGGUGUCGUGUGGUGUCUCCUCGUCGCCGGGCUCCUUCUCCUGGCCGUGGCCUCCGCGGCGGAGCGGGACACGGAGGAGGAGAUCCGGUGGUGCAAGGAGGACUGCGAAUGGAAGGCGGGGGAGGACACCGGGAAGGCCAGGGAGUGCAAGGAGCACUGCGAGCGCCGCCGCCGCCACGGCCACGAGCCGCAGGACGAAGACGGCGGCAUCCCUGACCGCUGCAAGAGGGAGUGCGAGAGCCAUGAGGACAUGGAUAGCAAGCUGCGGUGCACGCUGGAAUGCUGGCGACAGCAAAAGCGGGAGGGCGACGACAGCUUCGACGAGGGCCGCAACGCCGACGGCAGGUGCGAGAGGAUGUGCCAGCACUACCACGACCGGUGGGAGAAAAAGCAGUGCAUGAAAGGCUGCAGAUAUGGCGAGUCCGGCCUCCUCGGCUCCGACGACGACGGCCACGAACACGGAGACCGCUGCCAAACACAGUGCAAGCGCUUCCGGCCCGGGUCAUACGACAGGCAACAGUGCACCGAAAAGUGCCAGUGCCAGGAGAAGGAGGACGAGGAGGCGAUGAACCACCAUGGCGGUGGUGGCCAUGGCCACGGAGACCGCUGCCAAACACAGUGCAAGCGCUUCCGGCCGGGUUCAUACGAUAGGUGGCAGUGCACUGAGAGGUGCCAGAGCCAUCAGCAGGACGACGAGGAGGUGAUGAACCACCACGGCGGCGGCGGCCACGGCCACGGCGGCAGCAGCUGCGAGCAGAAAUGCCAGCAGCGAUACCGCCACGAGUACGAGAAGGAGCAGUGCGUGCGAGACUGCAAAAGCGGCGGUGGCGGCGGCCCCGGCGGGCGUGGCCGCGAGGGCGACGAGCGCCGGCACGACACGGCGAUGGUGGUCGAAGCCAUCCUCGAGGAGGUGUAA
rnacentral:rRNA from 1 species